rnacentral:rRNA from 1 species
UACGUAGGGGGCUAGCGUUGUCCGGAAUCAUUGGGCGUAAAGAGCGUGUAGGCGGUCCGGUAAGUCCGCUGUGAAAGUCGGGGGCUCAACCCUCGAAUGCCGGUGGAUACUGUCGGGCUAGAGUGCAGAAGGGGCAACUGGAAUUCUCGGUGUAGCGGUGAAAUGCGUAGAUAUCGGGAGGAACACCAGUAGCGAAGGCGGCACUCUGGGCCGGUACUGACGCUGAGGAGCGAAAGCGUGGGGAGCGAACAGG